UAUAACCAUUAACGGUGGAUCCCUCGGCUCGGAGUUCGAUGAAGAACGUGGCAAAAUGCGAUAAUUGAUGCGACAUGCAAGCCUUGUGAGUCAUCGAAUUUUUGAAUGCAAAUGGCACCGCUGACUCGUCAGUGGUAUGUCUGGUUGAGGGUUGUUUUAUAAAACAUAUCCCACGA
rnacentral:rRNA from 1 species